GGAAUAUUAGAAAUGGACGAAAGUCUGAUCUAGCAACACCGCGUGUGCGAAGAAGGCCUUCGGGUCGUAAAGCACUUUUUGGAAGGAAUAGGAAGGAAUGUACUUCCAGAAUAAGUCUCGGCUAACUACGUGCCAGCAGCCGCGGUAACACGUAGGAGGCGAACGUUAUCCGGAUUUACUGGGCGUAAAGCGCGUGUAGGUGGUACUGUAAGUAGGGCGUGAAAGCUCCUGGCUCAACUGGGAGAGGCCGUUCUAAACUACAGAACUAGAGGAUGGUAGAGGGAGGUGGAAUUCCAGGUGUAGCGGUGGAAUGCGCAGAUAUCUGGAGGAACACCGGUGGCGAAGGCGGCCUCCUGGACCAUUCCUGACACUCAGACGCGAAAGCUGGGGUAGCAAACGG
rnacentral:rRNA from 1 species